AUGCUCACAACCUUGAUAACCUUGGGUAAAGCACUUUGUUCCUUGGGCCUCAGUUUCCUGAUUUGUAGAAAAAGAGGAUUGGCAGAGAUGGCCUGUGAAGUCUCCUCUCUCUUUGUGUCUCUUUCCUCUAUCUCUCUCUGUCUCUCUCCCUCUCUCUGUCUCUGUCUCUCUCUCUCUCUGUCUCUCUGUCUGUCUGUCUUUCUCUGUCUCUGCCACUCUCUGUGUCUCUGUCUCUCUCAUUUUCUCUCUCUCUCUGGCUCUGUCUCUCUGUCUCAUUCUUUCUGUCUCUCUUUCUCUCUGUCUCUCUUUGUGUCUCUGUCUCUGUCUCAUUUGCUCUCUCUCUCUCUCUCUGUGUCUCUGUCUCAUUCUCUCUGUCUCUUUCCCUCUCUCUGUCUCUCUCCCUCUCUCUGUCUCUGUCUCUGUCUGUCUCUCUCUCUCUGUCUCUCUGUCUUUCUCUGUCUCUGCCACUCUCUGUGUCUCUGUCUCUCUCAUUUUCUCUGUCUCUCUGGCUCUGUCUCUCUGUCUCAUUCUUUCUGUCUCUGUUUCUGUCUCUCUCUCUCUCUCUGUCUCAUCCUCUCUGUCUCUUUCCCUCUCUCUGUCUCUCUCCCUCUCUGUCUCUGUCUCUCGUUGUGUCUCUGUCUCUGUCUCGUUUUUUUUUCUCUCUCUCUCUCUCUGUCUCUGUCUCUGUCACAUUCACAAAUAGGAUAUUGGAUUUUGAAUUUGAAGGUCUGGGAUCGAAUCACCUCUUACUCUCUCUAGUGAGUAGACAAGUCACCUGCCUUCUCUAGGCCUCAGUUUCCCCCUCUGUAAAUCAAGGCAGCUGGACUUGAGGGCCCCAGAGGUCCCCCUAUCCUGCCACCAUCUGUGUGUGUGUGUGAGGGAGUUGGAGUCAGUCCUCCCCAGGCCGCCUCGGCUUCCCCAGGCUCAUCUUGAAUGCCAGGGUUUUAAUUUAAAAUCGGGUUGCCAUUAGCAACGGGAUUACUCCUGGCUUUGCCACCGUGUACGAUUUCACAGAAAUCCUCUUUCCAGAAACAAAAGGCUUCCUGUUUCAUGGGGGUGGGGGUUGGGUGGGGGAGGGAGUGGGCUCUGGCUGAGCUGGACCGUGUUGUCCCCAAAUGAAGGCUGGCCUCUGGUGGGGGCCUCCCAUAGGUAGGAUUUCCUUCAUUCCUUCAUUUAUUCGUUAGUUCCCUAAACGUUUAUUAAGCCCCUGCUCUGGGCCCGGUUCCCGGGGGCAGAGCUGUGGCGCUGAGGAGGUGGCCCCUCUUUUGGGGGCUCUGCCCAGCAGAGGGAUUAUGGCCCCCCCAUAAAUGAGAAGCCCUCACAUCACUGACGAAAGCCAGGAGAAACUUGGCCCUCCCCUGUCUUAGACCCACAAUGGAGGUUACUUGGAAGCCACUGAGGCAGGCGUCACCCCCAAAUCUUCCCAACUCCAGGCUUAGAACUGGGGAAUUGGGUGGCUCUUGAGUUGGACUGCUGAGGAGGCGGUGUGGUCCUAGAGCGCUCAGCAUGGAUGGGAGGGCAGAGAGGAGAGGAGAAGAGGAAGAUGGAGCUGGGCAGUGAAGGGCCUUGAAUGCCAGACAGAAGCAUGCUUUACUUGGUAGGCUGUGAUAGGCAGAAAGGGGAAGGGGGGAGAUUAAUGAGGGCCACAAAAGGGGCCUUUGAGGUCAUCUAGCCCAACCUCCUCAUUAGUUUGUUUUUUAACUCUUCCCUUCUCUCCUGGUCUCAAUUCUAAGACAGAAGAGCAGCAAGGGCCAGAUGAUCAGGGUUAGGUGACUUGCCCAGGGUCACACAACUAGGCCAGCUUUGAACCCAGGUCCUCCUGACUCCUGGCCUAAUGCUACUUAGCUGUCCCAGCCUCCUCUUUUUUUAACAGAGGAGGAAACUGAGUGUCGGGAGGUAAGCGAUUUGCCCAGGGGAUGCCUCCGGAUUGGCUUGAAAGGCAAAUCAGUGAGAAGUAAGGGGGAUGUGGCCGGAUCUUCCCAUCUGUAUGGCCUCGGAUGAGUGGCUUAACUUCUCCGGGCUUGUAAAACUAGAGGGCUGGCCUAAAUGGCCUCAGAUGGCCCCUUCCAGCCCUUCCCACCUCCUUGGCAGGACCAGACCUGCUAAAUACUGUGGUUCCCUGGCGAUGGGCUUGGAAUUUAGGACCAGGGUGCGAGGAUGUGAGCUCUGACUGCCUGGCCUUUGUCAGAGAUGGGGGCAGUGAAAUGACCCUAAGUUUGGGACCUGGGUUUGAAUCCCUGGCUGUGGCCCCUUGGGCAAAGCCCCUCCUCUCUCUGUCCCCCGGUGUCCUCCGGGAAAAUGAUUUUCUUAUUGAGUCAAUCCACCCUUUUUUGGCCUCUUUGGGGUUUUCUUGGCAGAGAUGUUGGAGGGGUUGGCCAUUUCCUUCUCCUGCCCAUUUGACAGAUGAGGAAACUGAGGCAAACGGGGUAAAGCGAUUAGCCCAGGGUGGCCCGGCUAGCGAGUGUCUGAAGCUGGAUUGGACCUCCGGACUAUGAUAGGAUUGGCCUUUGAGCUGGAAGGGGCCUCUGAGUUUUUCUGACAUCUGGUGACUAGCCUGAGCCCGAGGAAUGUUAAAUCUCAGCAUGGCGAGAGACGGAUUUCCACGGGGGGCGGGGGGGGGUUUGCCCCAAAGCUGUUACACGUGGUGGCAGCCCAGAGGGGAAGGGACAGACUUGGAAGAGGGUGGCAGCUCGACAUGGAUGGCAAAGCCCUGAAAAGGCACCUCAGAGGCCGGCCAGAGCAUCCCUCCCCUUACUGCCCAUUCUGCAGAUGAGACAGCCAAGACUGGGAGGUUCAAUGCCUUACCUGGGAUGGUUAGACAGCUGGGCAAUAGCGCUGUUCCCUUUCCAACCGUGUCCAAGUCCAGGGCCCUCCCCAUGGUGCUGACGUGCCCACUCUGCCUUAAUAACCUCAUUCUCCAAAAAGGCGCCAUCUCCCCGCCCCCUUCCUGUGCCAGAGGGCAACCACCUCCCUGGCCUAACUGAAACAUGGCACUGGGCAGCGCCUGGGCAGGCCCCUCCCCAGAAUGCCCGAUCCCGGCCGGCUUCCUCAGCUCAGAGCUGAACGCGUCCCCAGGAGUCCUGGCUGGAGUCGGGGCUUUGCCAGGGCUGCUGUACCCAGCUCCACUUUGACCCUUGCCAACCCUUGGCAGCGAGGGAAGGGCCUCCUUCCCUUGUGCCUUUCGGUCCCUCUCUGCCUGUGCCUGCCCCUUCAACCCCCUCAUUUUUGUCCAGGUGUGACUCCGUUCUGCCCACCUGAAUGAGUGCCACAAGGCUGGCCCCGUGCCUUGGCGCAAUGCAGCCCUUGGAAGAUAAGGGCAGGAAAGGGAUUUUCUGACUGGGAGACUUUCCCUGCCUGAGGGUCCCUCCCGUGAGGAGGGCUUCCUUGCUGCUGGAGGUUCUGCCCCCUAGCAGGAGGGGACCCUCCAUCAGAUUUAACGCGUGCCAACAGCUGGCCCUCAUUGCCCAUUUGGCUUCCUGCCCUUAUCGCCAGAGGUCAUCCUGGUUUCAGGGCCCCCAGCCAGACAGGGUUUUUAUCCAGGUGCUGUCCUAGGAAGGCAAAUACAGGAGCGUGAGGGACAAUUGCUGUUUCAUAUGGGGCGCUGCACACAGUAGGGACUUAAUAAAGGUUUAUUGGCUACCA
ensembl:lncRNA